rnacentral:lncRNA from 1 species
ACAGGGCAAGAGUAUCCAAUUUUCUCUGAUCAGUAUGUAUGGAAUCUAAUAGAAGCAUCUGAGAAAUAACAAUACCUUGCUCCAUGAGCUGAAUCUCCAACAAGAGCCAUUUGGGAGACACUAUUGCUAAGGAGCUUUUAUGAGUGCAAAAGGGGAUACGUUUGUGAGCAGAGCUGAGGUCUGGGAAAACCGUUAGGCAAAUGCAGGACAUCAGGAGCUGUGCUGCCCCACCUCAGCUGCCCCGUUUGGGGAUUACGUCCUGUCCUGCCACGCGACAGUGCUCUCCACUCUCCGCACGGCUCUGCUGUGGUCUGCGCCUCCUCAGCCCAUCCAGCUUUAUGUUUCUGUGUAGCUUCUCAGGAAGUAGCAGUUUUGAAGGUCUGGGUCAUUUUGCCCGUGGUUCUAGACAUUUGAAAGUGGUCACUUUUCUGAUCUAUCCUAAUGUUUGAGGAAAAACUUGCUGCGAGAAGGGUCCAUAAGUACAGGAGAAAACUGAUUUUGGAAGAGAUGGAAAGAAAAGCCUAUCAACAAGUUCUGUAUAAAACUUUCAAGCUUUAUUCUUUUUUCUGUCACUAAAAUUCACAUGCAGAAGACUUGCAAGAGAACUUACUUUUAGCACAUCAAAUUGAAUGUUGGUAAAUCUGCUCUGCGUAUGAUUUGUUACAUUGAGACACUAAUUUCAUCCUUUUGAACAUAACCUUUAAAAAUAUUUAGAAAAUGCAGUGUUUACACUUAAUCCCUGAUGUCUGUGUAGCCAAAUGCAAAGAUAGGUAUCUUAUUAAAAAAGAAGAGAUCUACAGUCUAAUAACUGUCAGCCAGUUGGGGAUAGUUCACAUUUUGAAGGUCAGACUGUCUAGAGUUUUUGUUCCCCCUAGCUGAUACAGCUGCACACCUCUCCUAACGUCUCCAGACUUGUCUGGAAUAGUUAAAUCAAGAUUGUUUCUCUGUUUUCAUCUAUCUAAACUAAAAGUAAAUGGAUUUAUUAGCAGCAUCCUGAGCCGUAAGGCAUUCAUGACCUUAGUAUUCAAGGCAAGUAUUGACUGACAGUUAUAACCAUGAAUUAGUGAAGAGGUUUUCUGUUUUAAGAAGCAAUGUUAAUUCCCUAAUUACCUUAAAAUUUUUGGUAUGAGGAUGAGUUGCUUUUUGUUUGGGGGUGGGGGGAUUUUUUGUUUGCUUUUUGUUUUUUUAACUUAAAUGUAUUGAUGGUUUCUAGUAUUAACCUCUAGAAUACCUAAUCUUGUGAAGGAUAUAGAAGACAACCGGGUACAACACAUGAUACUAGGGUUCUGUCAACACUAGCUGAUUAUCUUAUUUGUGUCUUGUAUCUCUUGCAAGUGUUCUUAUACAAUCUUAACUACAGAACCAGCUGGAGUUAUUCCUGACACAAAAAGCCCAUUCACAAAUACAGAUACUUGAGUGUGGUGUUACUAUGAGCUUGAUCUGGCCAGCCUGAGUGUAAAUACCCCUCCUUCAAAUGCAAAUGUAAUUAAUUUGUGGUGUGGACAUAAGCUAGCUCCACUCAGAUGCCUGGCUUUCCAUGCUUUUCUGCAGGGUGUUUGUUUUGUUUUGUUUUGUUUUUUAACAUUCCCCCCCCCCCCCAUUCCCCCAUGUGCCAGAAGGGGCAGAGGGAUUCCUUCACAGCUCACUGACUUGUGCGAUUGAUAGAUCUCUUUGUCUUUCAGGAAGAAAACAUGUUUGCUUUUGGCUUUGUAUAAUAUUUUAAAGGCAAUAUUGGAAACAAAUUACGUGCAGCACUUACUUUUAAACUACAGGGCAAUAAAGCUGUUACUAUGAGAAGAGCA